GAGCAUCCAAGCUCGGGAAGGCGGCCAAAACGGGCCAAAUAGGUGCUGCCAUACCCAUUUUCUACAGUUGCUGUCCGCUGUGGUUUGAGGCCAAGAAAGGGUAGAUCCGGCGCUUGGAUGAGAUGGAGAAGGACCGGGGAAGGUUGAGGGGUCGAACCAGACCUAGGUGGGGCCCGAACGGUGGCCGGAGGUGGCCGAACGGAUCCGGCACGAGCUGAUGUAGCAGCUGCGACGCGAGCUGAGGUGAAGCGGAGACGAUGCGACGGCGGGCCGGCGAGCGUGCGCGGGUCUUCGCGCGCGGACGGGUAGUGACCGCGACGGACGGCGAGCGGCUACCGGCGGCCAUGGCUGCUCCAGCUUCUUCUCUGCAUUUUUCUCCUCUUCGCACAACAAAGAUGGAGGAGAAACCAACGGAAGGGAGAGAGGAAGGAGAGAGAAGGAGGAGAGAGAGAGAGAGAUGGGACCAUUCCCUUUUCUUUUCCUUUUUCUUUAAUCCCAAAAAAAUGGCCCACCAUGACCUCAUGGAUGAUGUCAUACUCCACUCACUCAAAACUCCCACAACCUUAUUCCAAUGGGUUCAAUUCCAUUUUCCGCCGGGGUCCAAUUCUUGUACAUCCAAUUUCUUCAAUUCUCAUCAAUUCUCUUCCAAUUGAAUCAAAUUGAAGUCCAUAAAAUUAAUCCGAUGUCACCACGCUUCAAUUCACAUCUUCACUUGUCUAUAGAACCAACUUAAGUCCCAAAAGCAAGACCAAAGGCGGCCUACUAAUUUCUCGAGCCAAAAUAGCCAUACCUUGAUUAUUUUGCCGAAAAACUCGGCUUGCAUGAAAAAAUCUUCCGCAGAUUAGUCAAUGUUCCUAAAAUGAUUUGUGACACACCCAGACUUCCAAUUUCUGAAUUCGAUCUCAAUUUCAUGGUUGAUUUCACUUUGGCACGAUACUAGCGCGGCCCAACCUACCGAGUAGCCUUUAGAAAUUUUCAUGCAUCUGACCUGUGGUUGAUCAUCUCAAGCCACAAUGUACAUCUUUGAAACAUUGGCGACUUUCGAUUGUCAGGGUAAUAUCAAGGUUUCAAAUACGACACAGGGUACCCAAUCGAUAGAAAAGUCGGUCCAGUGCCGAUCGACACGAAUUGUGCGAUCUGGUGGAAUCACCCACACCUGAUCACAUGCCUCUAUCGAGUCGACCUAUUUCCGAUCUUUAAUUGAUUUUAAUUGUGCCGUAAUGACCCUUGCAGACUAGCUCGAUCGAAAGGUCGCUUCCUGGUCAAAUUCUUGAGUCUGAUGCAUUAGAAACUCUUAACAGUUUCACCCGAUAGACUAGUUUCCACAUGAAUGGCCAACUCAAGGAAAAGAACUAUAUGCAUGCCAACGAAAUGCCCGUCUCAAUUUAUUGAAAAUAAAAUUGGAAAAUUGGGAUGUCACAACUCUUCCCCUCUUAUAAAAAUUUCGUCCUCGAAAUUUAAACAUUUACCAAUUCUUAAACCAAAAGGUGAGGGUACUGUCGUCUCAUAUAAUCUUCUAUUUCUCAGGUUGCUCCUUCUGCACCAAUGCUGCCAGAUCACUGCUAUCUUGUCCAAACCACUUCGGAUUCAAAAUAUUAAACGCUUGCCCACUUAAAAUUCCAAAGGCCUUCAACACAAAAUCUGCAAAGCUAAAUUGGUGAUUCUGAGCAGUCUCUAAACUGUCUCUGAUAACUGCAACUGAAUCACUGAUUUCUAAACCAACCCUGAACCUGCGAUUUUCUAAUCUUUGAUCUCAUCUGAACCGACUGAAGUUCUGAACCCUCUGCUCUACACUAACUAAAAGGACACUAUCUGACUGAUCUGCUGAAAGUGGGAACCUCUGGUCAAGAUCUGAUAUAACUCUGACACUGAUCUCGGCAACUGCAAUCACUGACCAUUGUACAAACCCUGGCCUGUGAUCUUUCUUUCCCUGACUUCAUUUCAGCAAUCGAAAUUCUACACUCUCUGCUAUGCACUGCUUAAGAAAGAACCAUCCGAAAGCUCUGCCAACUUGGAACAUCUGAUCGAUUUGAAAUACAAUUCAUCACCGACACUUCAUGCAGAUGAUUUAUAUGAUAUACACACACUUCGGUAUACCUAUUCUAAUCGAGAUCUUUUCGUGCUGCACUAAGGCGAGCUGACUCUGAUCAUCUAUCGACCACAACCCCACAAUGAAUCAAUACUCUUCUCAACUCCUUAAUAAGCCUGCCAUAACAUUCCAUCAUGCUAUACUUCCAUUCCCACACAGAACUCUCUCCAGUACUUGAAAAAGCUUUCUGGCUUACAUCGCCAAAUUCUCACUUACUGAUAUCUCCAACACUCACAACUUGAUUGGCGAUAUCUAUCUUCAUGCCGAUCUACCAAUCCCAAUGAUGUAGAUUCUGACUCAUCUUCGUACUGUCUGGACAAUACUGAAGCUGCUAUGAUGAGCUUCCCAUAAGAUCUCUUCUUUAAUCUCUGUAUCGACAAUUACACACAAUCGUCCUCAGAACCUUAGCAUUCUGCCUUCAGAAAUCUGGAAAUCAACCUUUCUCAUUUGCAUUCUCUUAUGGAGUCUUCUGAAUUUCUGAAUCUGUCCACUGAAGUGAUUUGACUCUAAUCUGAACUCUCGGCUCAAUUCUAAGGGUAGUCAUAAGAUUCAAAAGGUGGCCUACUAUAGAUUUGAAAACCGAAUUUCGAUCUUCCUCGAGCAAGAUCCAAUCCUCGAGUACCAACUGUGCAACUGAUGACUCUCGACUCAGUGCAUCUACAACUUUGCUCACCCUUCCAGAGUGAUACAAAAUAUCAGUCAUAAUCCUUAGGAGUUCCAUCCAGCGAUGUUGUCUCAUAUUGCACUCCUAAGGUCUCAACUGACGGGACACAUAUGCAACAACUCUAUCAUGCUGUAUCAACACCUAACCCAAUCCUUUAAACGACGCAUCACUGUAGAUCUCAACCCUCCUGGACCAGAUGGAACAGUUAGCACAGGUGCAGUAGUUAGCUCUUGCUUAAGUUCUUGAAAACUACACUCGCACUUACCUGUCCAGACGAACUUUUCUUACUUCCUCAGUAGUCGAAUCAACUACAACGCUGACACUGAAAUCCCUUCCACAAAACUUCUGUAAUAUCCUGCUAAUCCUUAGAAACUUCCAAUCUCUGUCACUGUAGUCAAUAUUGGCCAACUGUUCACUGCUUCAAUCUUGGACGGGGUCUACAGAGAUUCCUCCUCCUGAAAUCACGUGACCUAGGAACGCAACACGAGCCAUCCAAAACUCACAUUUGCUAAGCUUAUUGUAAAAUCCAAAAGUACUCAAGGUCUGAAGUACCCUCUCCAAAUAUCUCUCGUGCUCCUCAUCACUCUUUGAACACACCAGGAUAACUUUAAUGAACACGAUCACCACUGAUUCAAGUACCCUUAAACAUUCAGCUCAUCAGACCCAAACAAACAGCUGGGGUGUCCAUUAAACCACACAGCAUUACAGUGAACUCAUAACUACUGUAUCAAGUACGAGAUGCUGACUUCGGUGUGUCUUUCUUCUUGAUUCUCAACUGAUGAUACCCUGACCUCUAGUCGAUCUUGAGGAAUAUCGACAUACAAACACAACGAACCAACUUUCUGUUGGAGAAAUCUUCUUGAAGUGUUUUGAAGCUGACAAAACGUUUCCAUCAGUCUAGUCUGAAGGUUUGCAGACUCUGCUAUUUAAAGUCUGAAGACCUCCGGACAGCCAGACUCAAGACUCAAAGUCUAUCCUCAUUGACAGUCUCUAAUCCGUUGAAGAAAGGUUAUCCAGAACUGGAUGUUUCGUUAAGGAUUUAACCUUAUCAUCUGGAGAAGAUCUCGUGGCUGGAAAAGACGUAACAGAAUCCUUUGAUUGAUCGAGAUUGAUUCGAUGAUUGAAGAUUCGAUGAUUGCCUAAAUAUUUCUGGAAGGUUCUACUUAUGGAAACCGAGAUCCUGAUUGUAUGGGCGAAUAGGAUUGAUGGGCUAUCGACACGAUGAAAAUGAUGGAAAUGAUUACAACAUCUGGAAGAACAAGAUGAAAGCUUUCCUACGAUCAAAGGAUCCUCUAGAAUGGGACGUUGUAGAAAAAGGAAUUACUCCUACAGCUGCAUCGGUCUCUGAAAGAGGGAAAGAAACUGUUGAGACCAGCGGAAUGACUCAGGAAGAGAUAAUCAAGAGACAAGCACUCGAUGCAAAAGCAAUUUACUCUUUAUAUUGUGCUUUGUCACCAACUGAAUAUAACAGAAUAUCUUCUUGUGUUACAGCAAAAGAAGUUUGGGACAUAUUGCAUAUCACCUAUGAAGGAACAGAUCGAGUGAAGGAAACCAGAAUUAACAUUCUCCUCGGUCAAUAUGAAGCCUUCAAAAUGAAACCAGGAGAAUCUAUAACUGACAUGUUUAGCCGUUUUACAGAUAUUGUCAUUGGUCUUGAGAAUCAAGGACAAAGAAUUUCUGAUCCCAUGAAGGUAAACAAGCUACUGCGUGGACUCUCCAAGGAUUGGAAUCACAUAAAGACUUCGAUAAGAGAGACGCAAAGAAUUAUGCCACUAUCUGUCGACGAGCUAAUUGGAACUCUUCAGUCUUAUGAAGUGGAACAGAUCAAUGAAGAUGAAGAUCCAAAAGGUAAGAAAUCCAUUGCAUUAAAAUCAAAUGAUGAUUCUGAUGAUACAGAUUCUGAAGAUGAUAUGGACGAUGAGGAGCUUGCUCUCAUGAUAAGAAGAUUCAGAAAACUGAAUAGAAAAUGAAGAAGGUUCAACUCAAAGAAACAAAGCUUUCAAAGACAGCAGACCAAGUCUAUUGAUGAUGAGGAACCAAACAAAGAUGUAGUCUGCUUUGAAUGUAAGAAAAAGGGACACAUUAGACCCAACUGUCCUCUUUUGAAGAAGAAGAGAGGAAAAGCUGAAAAAUUUCGAAAAGCUCUCAAAGCCGAAACCUGGAGUGAUACAGAGUGUGAAGAAAGUGAUAAUGAAUAUGCCAAUCUAUGUCUGCUGGCACAAUCAGACUCAGACUCUGGAUCAGACUCAGACAGUGAAUUUGAGGCAAAUAAUUUUAAAAUUCCUGUCAAAGUUUCUAAAUACAUUGAUGAACUGUGUUUUAGUCUUAAGACUUCUCUCAAAAGAAUUUCCGAACUUAAAAAAGAAAACUCAGCUCUAAAACAAAAGGAAAACGUUUUAGAAGAAAGAGUUAAAAGUUUAGACUUGACUGUUUCCACUCUUAAAGAAAAUGAAGAUAAUCUUUUAAAAGAAAAUGCUCUUUUAAAACUGACUUAUCAAAUACUUCAAAGAAAUUUUCAAUAGGGUCUGAAAAACUUGAAAAAAUUCUUUCAGCUCAAAGACCUUACUUCAAUAAGUCCGGUCUAGGUAUGACAGCAGAAACAAUUCCCUUGAUUAAUUUUCCUAAAGUAAAAGAAAGAAUUAAGAAAAGACCCUCGAGAGAGGCUUACAAAAAUCAUUUCAAGAAAGUUUUUGUAAAAUCUGUAGGUAGAAAUGCUCUCAGAUGUUCAAAGUGCAACAGUCCGGAUCACUUUGAAAAAGAGUGUCCUAUGGUUUGGAAACCUGUUAAGAAAGUAUGGGCUAAUACUGUUUAUCUUACUAACACCAAAGGACCUAAGAAAGUUUGGGUACCAAAGAAAGCAUGAGACUUUAUUUUAAAUGCAGGUCUCUGUCAAGAAAAAGGUAAAGUGGUAUCUUGACAGUGGAUGCUCAAGACACAUGACAGGAGACUCAAAUUGUUUUAUAAAGCUUGCUCAAGUAAAUGGUGGAAAAGUUUCAUUUGGAGGAAACAACAAAGGAAGUAUUGUGGGAUUUGGAACUGUGAAAAUUGGAAGUCUCACAAUAAGUAAUGUUUCUUUAGUAGAAGGACUCAAUUACAAUCUUCUCAGCAUUAGUCAAUUGUGUGAUACUGGUUUCAAGAUCUUCUUUCAAGAAGGAACAUGUUCUGGAAUCAGUAAAGACUCUACUCAGUCUUUCAUGGGUCGAAGACAUGGAAAUAUCUAUCUUCUGGAUGUGAAACCAAAUGAAUCGCAAUGUCUUAUCUCAAUUCAAGACGAAGCAAGCUUAUGGCACAGAAAGCUUGGUCAUGUCAACAUGAAGCAAUUAGCCAAAGUCUCAUCAAAGCAGCUUGUUUGAGGUCUACCCAAAUUGCCAUACCAAAAGACUGAUCCAUGCACUCCAUGUAUUCUGGGAAAGCAGGUAAGAAAUUCAUUUAAGCCAAUAAAUCAUGUCUCUACUAAUCAUGUACUACAGUUGCUGCAUAUGGAUAUCUUCGGACCAACCAGANNNNNNNNNNNNNNNNNNNNNNNNNNNNNNNNNNNNNNNNNNNNNNNNNNNNNNNNNNNNNNNNNNNNNNNNNNNNNNNNNNNNNNNNNNNNNNNNNNNNAUUGCCUAGUAAUUAUGGACGAUUACUCCCGUUUUACUUGGGUAUAUUUCCUUGCAAGUAAGUCUGAAACCUUUUCGUAUUUUGAAAAAUUUGCUAAAAAGGUUCAAAAUGAAAAAGGAUGUGUUAUCUCAUGUAUAAGAAGAGAUCAUGGAGGUGAAUUUGAAAAUCAAGAUUUUACAAAAUUUUGUGAUGAAUCUGGCUUAAAGCAUGUGUUCUCCUCUCCAUAUACUCCUCAGCAAAAUGGAGUUGUGGAAAGAAAGAACAGAUCUCUUUAAGAAAUUGCUAGAACUCUUUUAAUUGAAAGUAAGAUUUCUUCACGAUUUUGGGCUGAAGCUGUUUCAACAGCAUGCUAUAUCAUCAAUAGAGUCUUCUUAAGACCUAUUCUAGAGAAAACCCCUUAUGAGUUAUUCAAAGAUAAGAAGCCUAUUGUUUCAUACUUUCAUGUAUUCGGUUGCAAAUGUUUUAUAUUGAAAAAUGCAAAAGAUCGAGUUGGUAAGUUUGAAGAAAGAUCAGAUGAAGGUAUCUUCCUUGGAUAUUCUACAUCAAGCAAAGCUUACAGAGUCUAUAACAAGAAGAGCCAGUCUGUGGAGGAGUCAAUGAAUGUCAAAUUUCAAGACUCAACGCAAGAUGAAUCAAGUCAGACUCAUCAAGAAGAGUCUGAACCUGCUCCAGACCCUCCAAAGCUUACAACAUAAGAAGCAUCUCAGACUCUGGAAGACCAGCAUUAGGUUGUUUGUGAAGAUCCAAAUAAAGAGAGAGAUCAUCAACCAGACAAAUCAACAAGUAACUGGAAGCAUAAGUCCAGUCAUCCCAAAGAUCUUAUUAUCGGCGAAAUUAAUGAAGGAAUUCGCACCAGAUCCAAAAGGCGAGAAGAGUUUAGUGCUGUGGCUCUCGUUUCUGAAAUUGAACCAAAGAGCAUAGAAGAAGCUUUAUCUGAUGAAAGCUGGAUUGAAGCUAUGCAAGAAGAGCUCAGACAGUUCAACAUUAAUGAUGUCUGGGAAUUGACAUCCAAACCAAAAGGCAAAACUGUUAUUGAAGCUAAAUGGGUGUUCUGGAACAAGAUGAAUGAGAAAGGAAGAGUCGUACGAAACAAAGCAAGACUCGUGGCCAAGGGAUAUACGCAAGAAUAAAGAAUAGACUAUGAUGAGACUUACGCACCAGUAGCAAGGUUAGAAGCUAUUCGACUAUUACUUGCGUUUGCUUGUUAUAAGAAUUUCAGGUUAUUCCAAAUGGACGUCAAAAGCGCCUUCCUAAAUGGAUUUAUCCAUGAGGAAGUUUAUGUGGAACAACCACCAGGGUUUGAAGACCCAAAGAAGCCAGACUCAGUCUUCAGACUGAAAAAGGCUUUGUAUGGUUUAAAGCAAGCACCUCGAGCUUGGUACGACAGACUAAGUAAGUUCUUAAUAUAGAAUGGUUUUGUCAAAGGUAAAGUAGACACAACUUUAUUUAUCAAAAAGGAAAACAAAAGUUUCUUACUUGUUCAAAUAUAUGUGGAUGAUAUUAUUUUUGGAUCCUCUAAUGAAAGUCUGUGCAAGAAAUUUUCUAAGACUAUGCAGGAAGAAUUUGAAAUGAGCAUGAUGGGUGAGUUAACCUUCUUUCUUGGACUUCAAAUAAAACAAUUGGAGGAAGGAACUUUUAUUCAUCAAGAAAAGUAUGCAAAUGAUCUUAUCAAAAAGUUUGGUAUGGAAAAGUGCAAAAAGACCGGCAUACCGAUGUCAAGUUCUUUGAAGAUAGACAAAGAUGAAGAAGGGAAGAAAGUUGAUCAAAAGCUGUACAGGAGCAUCAUUGGUUCACUUCUUUAUCUUACUGCUUCUAGACCUGACAUUUUGUUGAGUGUUUGCAUCUGUGCUAGGUUUCAAUCAGAUCCUAGAGAAUCCCAUCUCAGUGCUGUGGAACGUAUUAUUAAAUACGUUGCUUCAUCAUCAAGCAUCGGUCUUUGGUAUCCUAAGAAGGGAGACUUUAAUCUUCUGGGAUAUUCAGACGCAGAUCUGGCUGGUUGCAGAGUUGAUAGAAAGAGCACUUCGGGAACUUGCCAGUUGCUUGGAAGCAGGACAGUGUCUUGGUUUUCAAGGAAACAAAGCACUGUGUCUCUUUCAACAACAGAAGCAGAGUAUGUAGCCCUUGGAAGUUGUUGUUCGCAAAUUCUAUGGAUAAAACAACAGCUAAGAGACUUUGAAAUUGAAGACUCAUGCACGGAGAUUAAUUGCGACAACACCAGCGCUAUCAACCUCACCAAAAAUCCAAUUCUCCACUCAAGAGCAAAGCAUAUAGAGAUUCGACAUCACUUUAUUAUAGACCAUGUUCAAAAUGGAGAUGUUUCAAUUCAAUUUGUUGACUCAAAGAACCAACUAGCGGAUAUAUUCACAAAGCCUUUGGAGAAAAAUCAAUUUGAAUCUAUCCGUUCCAGACUCAACAUUUUGAGGUAUGAGGAAAUCAAAGUCUAAAGACUCUCAGACUCAGACAUACAAGACUUUAUCUGUAAGAUAGUCUUGGUACGACCGUCAGACUGUAAGUCUUUCUCUCUCUAAUCUUAUCUUGAAAAGGUACGAUCGUCAGACUGUGUUUAAAUUGUUGCUAUAUUUAAUCGACGUAAUUAUUGCAUCGUUUCAUUUUCAAAAAGGAAGUUAUUUUUGAAAUGGCUAUUUUUGCGGAAAAAGACAGUUAUUUUGAAAAUGCAUCUUUUUAUUUCCUUUGUGACGGUUCGUUUAUCUCUCUUUUUAACCGAUCGUGCACUGUUGAUUCCUCUUCACUUUACUCUCAAAAACCCUAGAAAGCAUCGAUCCUCCAUUCCCGUUUGUCUUCUUUGUUUAAUCUUCAAAAAGUUGUCAUCUUUCUUGGGAAAGUCAAGCAAGGAAUCUUCCAAAAACUGAGAAAGAUGUCAUCUUCAAGAAAGUCUUCGAGAAUCGCAAGCAGGGGACCACGGCGAAUGAGUGAGGGGCCUACGCACUUCGAUCUUAUUGAAGAAGAAGUGUCUCCAGAACAGCAACCGAGCCCACAACAUUCUCAGCAGCGUCAUUCUCCUCCAUCUAGUCCUCAAGGUGUUGAUCAUCAACAUCAGGAAGAAAUCAUCGAGGAUGCAAACCCUGUAAGAGUUCAAAAGCCCGCUUAUAUUUACAAGCUAUAUCGUGCCUUAAAAGGAACUCGUACUCCUUUGAACUAUGUUAAUGAUUUUCUUAAAGACAGGAUAUGGGAACGAAUAUAUCUUUCUGCGAAAAAUGGAAAGUUUGGGAAUUGCUCGUAAAGGGGUGGCUGAGGAAACCCUUGCGAAUAUCCCAAGUGAUCCUCGUGACUGGGGGCCGAAUCCUGUAGAUGGGAAUGAUGAUGAAAAAUUGUACAGCCAUUUCAACCGAAAAUGGGUGUUGCGGUUGAAAAUCAAGGAAAAAUGGGAGAUUUGNNNNNNNNNNNNNNNNNNNNNNNNNNNNNNNNNNNNNNNNNNNNNNNNNNNNNNNNNNNNNNNNNNNNNNNNNNNNNNNNNNNNNNNNNNNNNNNNNNNNNNNNNNNNNNNNNNNNNNNNNNNNNNNNNNNNNNNNNNNNNNNNNNNNNNNNNNNNNNNNNNNNNNNNNNNNNNNNNNNNNNNNNNNNNNNNNNNNNNNNNNNNNNNNNNNNNNNNNNNNNNNNNNNNNNNNNNNNNNNNNNNNNNNNNNNNNNNNNNNNNNNNNNNNNNNNNNNNNNNNNNNNNNNNNNNNNNNNNNNNNNNNNNNNNNNNNNNNNNNNNNNNNNNNNNNNNNNNNNNNNNNNNNNNNNNNNNNNNNNNNNNNNNNNNNNNNNNNNNNNNNNNNNNNNNNNNNNNNNNNNNNNNNNNNUGCUUCACAAGAUUGUGAUCAAUUGCCUCCGACCGAAAUCAACUUCCAAGACUGAUGUUUCAAGUUCAGAGGCAAAGCUGAUGUAUGCCAUCCUCUCUGGGAAAAAGUUUUCUCUCCCUCACAAUGUUAUGUUUCACAUGUAUAGAGCAAUGAUGAAGGACAGAGGUCAACUCCCUUACCCAAGCCUUGUUACGAAGUUAUUCAGACAUCUAAAUAUUCAGCCUCCGCAAAUCUUUUGUGUUCGACCAUGCGAUCAUAUGGUGGUAGGACUGAAAAUGGUGACCAAAAUGCGUCUGAAGGAACUGAGCAAGGAGUUGGAGAAAUUCAAGGAGAAGACUCCUGCCAAAACUCAUCAAAUCUCUUCUGCAGCUAAAAGAAAAGGGAAGGAGCCCAUGGUUGCUCCAUCUAAGAGAAGAAGAGCUCUCCUCGUUGAGGAUGAAGAUGAUGAGGAAGACAUCACCAUCUCUGCAAUGGCUUUGAAGAAUUUAAGUCGUCCUGUUCCACAGAAAGAAUCAGAACAAAUGACGAAAGAAGCAGAGGAGAAGGAAGAAGAAGAAAGAGAAGCUGAACAAAAAGCAGAGGAGGAAAGAAGAGAAGAAGGAGAACCUGAGGAAAUCUCUUCUCCACCUGUAGGCAUGGAAACAGGGGGAGAUCAAGAGAAAGGAGGGAAUUCUUCAUAUCCUGAUGCAAGUGAAGGAGUCAGUUGCUCACCUGCAGACCCAGAUGAUGUUUAUGCCUCUCAGUUUCCAGAAGAAGGUCAUGAAGUCUCAUCGCCAAACCUGCGAGACUAUGCUGAUCUACCAUCGUCUGCAUUUACUCCAUCAGAUCGGGCCGAAGCAAGUACUCAGACUGAUAAUGCAGCAGAUUUUUGCAGAAUCAUGGAUACUCUUUUGGAGAUGAAAGGGCAAAUUUAUGCCUUGGGAUGUGAGGUUCAAAACUUGCAGAAUGCGGGUCAAGCUUCUUCAUGUUCAUUAAAUGAUAAGAUCCAAGCCCUCUCUGUUCAGAUUCAGGCCAAUGCCAAGGGUGAGGAGAUUGCACAACUAAAAGAAGACUUGUAAAGGCUGGAAGGCAUCGUUCAGUCUAUGGAAAAUUUCCAGCUUGUCCGCGUUCCCAAGCAUUCUUGACUUCAUCUCAUCCUUUUUAAAUGCUGACAAAAAGGGGAGAGAUGCAAGAUUUGAACAAACUUUCAAUUGUUAAACUUUUAAUCGUGUGGACUGUUUGUUGGAUUGUUUUGUUUGACUUUGACUUUGUGUCUGGAUGAGAACUGAACUAGACUUGGACUUGACUGCUUUUAUUAACUACUAUUGAUAUCUUAUGGAUGGCUUUAUCAUAUACUAGACUAACCUAUUUUCUGUGGUUGCAGAUUCUAGUGUUAGACUAACCUAUUAUCUGUGGUUGCAGAUUCUAGUGUUAUUCAUUUAGCCAUUUAAGAUAUGCAUAUGUGUUUGAGAAAUGUUUUGCAGGUCAAAGUUAUCCAAAUCUGCAGGAAAGUUUUGUCACCAUCAAAAAGGGGGGGAUUGUUGGAGAAAUCUUCUUGAAGUGUUUUGAAGCUGACAAAACGUUUCCAUCAGUCUAGUCUGAAGGUUUGCAGACUCUGCUAUUUAAAGUCUGAAGACCUCCGGACAGCCAGACUCAAGACUCAAAGUCUAUCCUCAUUGACAGUCUCUAAUCUGUUGAAGAAAGGUUAUCCAGAACUAGAUGUUUCGUUAAGGAUUUAACCUUAUCAUCUGGAGAAGAUCUCGUGGCUGGAAAAGACGUAACAGAAUCCUUUGAUUGAUCGAGAUUGAUUCGAUGAUUGAAGAUUCGAUGAUUGCCUAAAUAUUCUUGGAAGGUUCUACUUAUGGAAACCGAGAUCCUGAUUGUAUGGGCGAAUAGGAUUGAUGGGCUAUCGACACGUUCCUUUUAUAGCUCGAACAAUCUUCCUAAUUGAUUCCAUCCAACGGGUAGAUUGGAGAAAUUCCUUUGGUAAGUGCCAACGGGUAUGAUGGCAUAAAGGAGUAUAUAAGGAAGACAUUCUUAGUUGUUCAAGGUGUGCGCGAUAGAAGAAUUCCAAAGUCUGAACCUCCUUUUUGUUUAGACAAUUCCUUUGAGCGAAUACUUGUAUACAAAAGAGAGUCUAUAUUUGUGAGCAAUCUCGAGGAGGUGUGGUAGAACAUCUACACUGUGGAAUCAAGGCAAAGCUGUGCUGUAACUUCUCUUUUGUUCAUAGUGGAAUCCAGCCAAUAGGCUGUCAGUGCAGAAGAGUGGACGUAGGCUUAACAUAAGCCGAACCACUAUAAACCGCGUGUUCAAUUUUCUCUUCUCUCAGUCUUACUUUGAUUAUCGGUUGUCUCAAAUCCAUCAACUGUCUAGUAUUGUGCAAUUAUCGAGAAAAAUCUUUUAUAUACCUAUUCACCCCCCUCUAGGUACUUAUACUAGCUAUAUCACUUUCUUCUUCAUGAAUAGAAUAGGUGCUUCCCAAGGUGAUGCACUGGAAAGUAUGAAUCCCCUAUCCAACACUUCCUGCAUCUACACCUCCGGUUCUUUUAACUCGGGUAACACCAUCCGGUAAGGAGCCUUAGGGACUGGCUCUGUUCCAGGUGCUAAUUCAAUCGCGAACUCUAUUUCUCUUUCUGACAGCAAACUUGACAAUUUUUCAGAAAAUACCUCAGAAAACUUUUGUACCACGAUUAAGUUUUCCAUAUUCGGCUCCUCAACUGACGCAUCCAUUACAGUUGCCAUGAAGAUCCAGUAACCAACAACCAGAAUCAAGUUAUCUUUAGUGACAAAUAACAAGGAUCGAAGUUCCUCUUCGACUUUUAGUGAUUCAAAACUUUCUCAUGCUAACUGAACAGGUUGAAUUAUUUCACUGCCACGAUUCAUAACAGCAGAAAGCUCCUCGAGCCAAACCUUUUCAUAAAUGACUUCUAAGUCAUACAUAAGCAAACCCCCGCAAGUACAACUAUAGUCAGAGAUUCAUAUUUCUAUUACUUUAUUACCAAUCCGAAAAUCCUACAACCUUCACUGAAAAUUCUGCUGCACUACUCUGAUAAAAACAUCUCAAAAACAUUUUUCUUCUGAUUGAUGCAUGGUCGAUCCCUUCAUGCUCCUCUAGCCAUCCUAGCGGCGUCCAAUCUACAGUAACAGUGCUUACGCUCACCUGAACUUUCACAGUUAUUUCUCAACAUGACGACUGUGCUGGCCAUAUUCAGAUCAUGCUCUUUUUUUUUUUACUCCGACACUAGGCUGACUCAUGCCUCCUUUCCACUGACUCGGCACACAAUCAGGGAGUCAUUUACCUCCCAUCAAGGAAUAUCAUGCACCCUUCUUUGCACUGGGGUCUGUUCCAAGUACCCCAUUAAAUGUCCCGAAGCAUGCUUCCUCUGUUCUGUCUCAUCAACGGCGGUGCAAAAAUAGCUAUGGUUCCAUCCAUCUAUACGAGCCAUCUUUAAUCAAAUGGCUUUACUGGCGACACCUGUAACAAGUCAUUUCCCUCUUACAGCACGAAAUAGAUCCAUGUCUUUUCUUACAGACACGACACGCAUUGAUCGAGUUGAGCACUGACUUUCCAACUCUACUCUUCCGGUUGGGUGAAACAGGGCAUCUUUCUUCUGACAUCGGCCUUUCUUCCCAAUCGAUUUUCAUCUCUAUCUAAGCUGAACUUUGACUCAGAAACGGAGGCUUGAUCCUCGAUCACAACUCCAGAUUGGGCCUCAACAAGCGCGGCAAUAACAACGGUCACAACACUAGCAACGGUAGAAACAACGGUAACAACAACGGCUCGAUCCUGAGCUUACUGACCCAACAAGCUUCCAAGGGACACUAGCGCCUGAACAACCCCGGCGAACCUAGGAUCAUUCGGUGCUGCUACACUCUAAGUACCGACUUGCGACGGUACUCUCACACUCGCGCUGGUCUAAGCCUGCGCUCUACCUCGGGUACCAACUCUUGUCAGCAUCCUACCCCAAGAUACAGGUCCUAUCGACCUCUUCCAAGGAGUUUUCCACUCCUGGUCGCUCAUCCUACAGGCUCUUUAUAGACACCUGUUUUUCGAUUCCAACAUCAGGUUAGAAUUUGAGUGACCCCACAAACAAGUUACCAAGCAGCUAUCAACCACAUGCAUCAACAUAUUAAAAGCCUUUCCUACUAACUAUCCCAUGACUCAUCGCACCUUAUCACUCCACACACAGACCAUGCUCUGAUACCACUUAAGCGGGGAUGUCACGCCCCGAACCUCGAGCGCGCCAACAUCCCACCAUGGUCAUGGAAAUGCGACAUUCCCAGGUAGUGUCGCCGACCCCAUUCAUUUAUUAAUGCGCAAGCGGAACGUAUUAUAAAACCCCUGACAAUAAAAUAUGGGAUAGAAAAGCAGGAAGCAAAACCACAACAUAACACUUCCAUAAUUCAACAGAAUUACAAACAGAAGUCUACGGCCAAAAGUCUACAAAAGACCGGCUCUUAAAAAGGAAUUGUCCUACGACCUACAAGUCGGACACGUUCUCCAAUCUUAUGACUUCACCUCUGCAACUCCUCAAGGCCAACCAAAGCUAUCUGGUCGCUCCGUCCACCAGGGACCUGAAAUUGUAAUCCCACAACCGGGAUGAGACGAUGUCUCAGCAAGUUCAACCCCCUAAACCCCUAUUAGAAAGAAAAUACGCCCAAGGGUGGCCUAGCCACAUCACACAGAGAACUUACCUCGCCUCAAUUCCUUCCUGCAGGUUAGCACAAUUUGUAUCACACAAUCUCAGGUAGUAAUAAUAAUUCAAACAAUUGGAACGCCAUCACUUUCAUAUAAAUCACGAUCGCACUUAGCACGCAUUCCAAUUAUUAUUCACUGCCACACAAGGGCAUAACCUACUCGCGGGUCGGCUAUCUACUAACAUUACGGCAUUUCUAGAAGAAUAAAAGUCCAGUCGGUCUCGCCACUACUGCGACCAAGCCACGUCAUUCUAUCGACGGCAUUUCUAGAAGAAUAAAGGUCUAGUCGGUCUCGCCACUACUGCGACCAAGCCAUGUCAUUCUAUCGACGGCAUUUCUAGAAGAAUAAAGGUCCAGUUGGUCUCGCCACUACUGCGACCAAGCCACGUCAUUCUCUUGACGGCAUUUCUAGCAGAAUAAGGAUCCAGUCGGCCUAGCCACUACUGUGACCCGAGCCUUUCAACUAGCACACGACAAUUCGAUACCGAUCCCUGGAUACUUUACAUUUCACUCACAUAAUCCAAUUACGAUAUUAACCAUUAACAAUCUAAUUUCAAUGCCAAACUCGACACUUGGGAUUUUCUAAAUGAAAUCCAUACUUUUCACAAUCCACACUCAAUUUAUAAUAUCCAAUCAUCAAUUUCAAAAUCUGACUAUACAGCAGCGACCGGCACGAAAUUAUGAGAAUUUAGGGUCUUGACAAAAUUUUCGGAAUUUAAUAAUUAAUUAAAUUUAUUCCGAAAAUAAUUAAAUAAUAAUAUUUUAAUAAUUUCGAAUAAUAUAAUAUUAUUAAAUUAUUAAAAAAUUUCGAAAUAUUUAAAUAAAUCAAAAGUAAAUUCCUUUAUGUCACAUCACAGUUUAUAUUAAUAUAACCACUCACUUAACCUUAAAUUAAACACAAUUUAAGUUAAUCAAACACCUUAAUAUAAUCUACACUUAAAUAAAUUAAACUAACCACCUAAUAACACUUAACAUAAACUAAGCACCCAUAAAGCAUCAUUAACCCUCUAAUCAAGGUUUAGUGAGUUAAACUCACUGGAUUAACGAGCCGAGCGAACCAAAACGACGAGGAUCACACGAGGAUCGACUUUCCUCAAGGCGGGCCGAGCAUCCGAGCUCGGGAAGGCGGCGAAAACGGGCCAAAUAGGUGCUGCCAUACCCAUUUUCUGCAGUUGCUGUCCGCUGCGGUUUGAGGCCAAGAAAGGGUAGAUCCGGCGCUUGGAUGAGAUGGAGAAGGACCGGGGAAGGUUGAGGGGUCGAACCGGACCUAGGUGGGGCCCGAACGGUGGCCGGAGGUGGCCGAACGGCUCCGGCACGAGCUGAUGCAGCAGCUGCGACGCGAGCUGAGGUGAAGCGGAGAUGAUGCGACGGCGGGCCGGCGAGCGUGCGCGGGUCUUCGCGCGCGGACGGGCAAUGACCGCGACGGACGGCGAGCGGCUACGGGCGGCCAUGGCUGCUCCAGCUUCUUCUCUGCAUUUUUCUCCUCUUCGCACAACAAAGAUGGAGGAGAAACCAACGGAAGGGAGAGAGGAAGGAGAGAGAAGGAGGAGAGAG
rnacentral:lncRNA from 1 species